rnacentral:misc_RNA from 1 species
AAGUCGUAACAAGGUUUCCGUAGGUGAACCUGCGGAAGGAUCAUUAAUGAAUGAAUGUAGAGUUAGUUGUAGCUGGCCUCCCUGAGGCAUGUGCACGCUUUCUCUUUCAUCCACACACCCCUGUGCACUCGUGAGACGGAGGCGUUUUCCUUUAAUCGGGAUGGUCUCCGUCUACUAUCACAUAAAAUCUAAUUUAAUUAAAACUGAAUGUAAUUGAUGUAACGCAUCUAAUACAAAGUUUCAACAACGGAUCUCUUGGCUCUC